ACGACCUUACUUGAACAGGAUCUGUUCUAUAGGCUCGUACCACUGUAUCCUUGAGUUCUAAGGAGACAGAAAACCAAGUCUGGUUGAUGAGAUGGCCAAUAGACCAGAGCGUGAUUAACAGCUCCCAUAACCCGUGGGUUAUGGUGCCGUAGAUGAUCGUUCUUAUCCCCAACCUUGGUGUGCUGAGAUGGUCUAAUGGCUGUUCUUAUCCCCAACCUUGGUGUGCUGAGAUGGUCUAAUGGCUGUCUGACAGACU
rnacentral:snoRNA from 1 species